rnacentral:lncRNA from 1 species
UGAUAAAAAUAUAAAAAAUUCCACUCAACGUCAGUUUUGGAGUUAUGCCUUUAAAGCAAUGUAGUCAUUCUACCAUGUUAUCAAAAUGUUGAAAGAUUAAAAAACCCCUGGACCUUAUUUCAAAAAAAUUUCUUUAAGGGUAUUUAAAUCAUUUUAUUGUGCAUCUAAAAUGUUAAAAGACUGAUUUGUUCUCAAUCAAUAUGAUAAUGACAUGGAUCAUAUGAAAAAGAUUGUAUUAUCCCUAAUAACUAAUUAACUGAUUUUGUUUAAGAAUGGUAUAAUGAUCAUUUCAUUGUUCCAAUACAUAAUAACAUGUGUCUUAGUGUAAUACAAAUGACUAAUGG